rnacentral:rRNA from 1 species
GCUAAACGCGAAGAACCUUACCCACACUUGACAUACUCUUUGGGGCCUUCAGAGAUGAGGGCUUUCGGUUCGGCCGGGAGAGAUACAGGUGCUGCAUGGCCGUCGUCAGCUCGUGUCGUGAGAUGUUGGGUUAAGUCCCGCAACGAGCGCAACCCCUAUCGUCUGUUGCCAUCAUUAAGUUGGGCACUCUGACGAGACCGCCGGUGAUAAGCCGGAGGAAGGUGGGGACGAGGUCAAGUCAUCAUGGCCCUUACGUGUGGGGCUACAAACGUGCUACAAUGGCCGUGACAGUGGGCAGCGAUACCGCGAGGUAAAGCUAAUCCCAAAAAACGGUCUCAGUUCGGAUUGCACUCUGCAACUCGAGUGCAUGAAGUUGGAAUCGCUAGUAAUCGUGGAUCAGCAUGCCACGGUGAAUACGUUCCCGGGUCUUGUACACACCG